rnacentral:misc_RNA from 1 species
AAGUCGUAACAAGGUUUCCGUAGGUGAACAUGCGGAAGGAUCAUUAUUGAAUUCAUAUAUGCGAAGGAGUUGUGCUGGUAAUGAAUAUUGCAUGUGCACACUCUGGAGCUAUAUAAUAUAUACACCUGUGAACCAACUGUAGUCAGGAGAAAUCCUAACUAUGAUUACCCUAUAUAACUCUUAUUGUAUGUUACAUAGAACGAUCUCAUAUUGAAACUUUGUUUUCUGACAAGUUUCUCUUAAUUAAAAAUAUACAACUUUCAACAACGGAUCUCUUGGCUCUU